GACGAACGCUGGCGGCGUGCUUAACACAUGCAAGUCGAACGAUGAAGAAAAGAAUUGUAGCUUCGGCAGAAAUUCAUUUCGGAUUAGUGGCAGACUGGUUCGUAACCCGUUAUUAACCUACCUCUUACAAAGGGAUAGCCUCGGUAAAACGGGAUACAUACCACAUGACAUUGCGACGAAGCAUUUCGAUUCACUCAAAUCUACGGCGGUAAGAGGUGGGCUCGCGUACCAUUAACCAGAUGGUGAGGUAACGGCUCACCAUAGUAACGAUGGGUAACCGGCCAGAGAAGGUGAGCGGUCACACUGGAACUGAGACACGGUCCAGAAUCCUACGGGAGGCAGCAGUGGGGAAUAUUGCACAAUGGAGGGAACUGUGAAGCAGCGACGGCGCGUGAGUGAUGAAGGAAUGCGUAUAGUAAAACUCUGUUAUAUGGGAAGAAAAGGACUGUACCAUAGGAGAAAGCUCCGGCUAAAUACGUGC
rnacentral:rRNA from 1 species